GAUGAACGCUGGCGGCGUGCCUAAUACAUGCAAGUCGAGCGAACAGACGAGGAGCUUGCUCCUCUGACGUUAGCGGCGGACGGGUGAGUAACACGUGGAUAACCUACCUAUAAGACUGGGAUAACUUCGGGAAACCGGAGCUAAUACCGGAUAAUAUAUUGAACCGCAUGGUUCAAUAGUGAAAGACGGUUUUGCUGUCACUUAUAGAUGGAUCCGCGCCGCAUUAGCUAGUUGGUAAGGUAACGGCUUACCAAGGCGACGAUGCGUAGCCGACCUGAGAGGGUGAUCGGCCACACUGGAACUGAGACACGGUCCAGACUCCUACGGGAGGCAGCAGUAGGGAAUCUUCCGCAAUGGGCGAAAGCCUGACGGAGCAACGCCGCGUGAGUGAUGAAGGUCUUCGGACCGUAAAACUCUGUUAUUAGGGAAGAACAAAUGUGUAAGUAACUAUGCACGUCUUGACGGUACCUAAUCAGAAAGCCACGGCUAACUACG
rnacentral:rRNA from 1 species